rnacentral:tRNA from 1 species
GGCUGUGGCUCAGUGGUAGAGUACUUGUCUCGAACAUGCAAGACCCUGGGUUUGAACCCCAGCACCA